UGGGGUAUGGCUUAAUGGCAAAGCACUCGGCUGAUAACCGAGCGAUCGUUGGUUCGAUUCCAACUACCCCAACCA
rnacentral:tRNA from 2 species